rnacentral:tRNA from 2 species
AUUGAUUAAGAAGAAUAUUUCUUAUAAAUAGAUUUACAAUCUAUCGCCUAAAUU